CAUAGACGAGACGCUGUCAAGUUAUCGAUUGGAUUUAUAUGAUAAUUGAUUUGUGAUAUGUUAUGUGAAAGAUGACUUGACUAUAUGAUAGAGUCAAAGCAUGAUUAUGUGUUAAGUGAUAUCUGAUAGGUUUAAAGGGUUAUAUAAGUGGGUAUCGAUGUACGUGAGAUGUAUAUGCGAUCGAUUGUUUAGUGAUUAUAGUGUUAUCUUAUUCUCGUAAAGGAUUUGGACGAGACGUGUAUGCCCGAAGACGUUCAGAAAGUCACGUGGUGUUACAAAGCGAAUAAGGGAUGAAUCGAGUAAGCGAAGCGAAGUGGCGAAUAGAGUAUAGCUAGAGAUGGUCUAGAGAUUACGAGAUGCAUUGAUUGUGAAAGUUGAAAGAUGAGAUAGAGAUGUGAGACUGGAGUCAGAUUUAAGGCAAGUAUCCUGCACCCUGCUUUUGGAUAUAUUGCAAAUAUUCUGAUUCAUUCUUUUGAUGUGUUGCAAGUAUCCUAAACCUUUCUCUUGGAUAUAUUGCAAAUAUUCUGAUCCAAUCAUUUGGUAUAUGUUUCAAGUAUUCAUACCUUUCUUUUCAAUGUUCAAAAGUGCGAGUAUUCUGACCCAUUCUUUCUAAUCUUCAAGUUUCUAAAGAAUUUCCGUUUUACAAAUUAAUUCGAAGUUCAGAUUGUCAUUGAAGCAUGUGUUGCUCAGUGAUAGUUAGAGCUUUGAAUGAAUUGGGAUCUUCUUGAUUAUUCAACCUGCCAUUGUCAUGCUGGUUUAGCAGGCUAAAUUCAGUUGCUUAGCCGAUAAUGGAGGAUACUGAAUAGUUGAGGAUUUCCUGAACUGUGAUUUAUGAAAUGAUGGAUCAUCAUUUAUGAAUAGAUUAUUAUCAAAGUUUGAUUUGGAAUUAUUCUGUUGUUGAUGAUGAUUAUGAUGAUGUUCAGUUGAUUUACAUUGGCUUCUUGAAUUGAAUUAGAGAAUUGGAUUAUUGUUUUUAUAAAAUUAUGUGGACCAAAUGAGUGGUCAGACCAGAUUCGUGGUCAUGUUAGGCCAAUGAGUGCCUUGGAUCCAGUGAUAGAGCAUGGCGGGGCCUGCUCGGGGUUAGAAAGGCUUAAAGAUGAGAUGAUUGAUUGAGAUUGUGAAUAAGGCUAAUGCUAGGCGAGGAGACAGAGUUGAGAAUCCAGUGGUCGAGGAGUGUUCAGGAAAGUUGAUGAGGUUGGUGCAAGCUAGAGUUGAGCUAUGGAAAUUCAGAUGUAAGUCAUAGCUGGAAUAGAUUGGCGGUGAUUCUUCUUAUCGAAGAUGAUCUGAUUUGGUAAGAGAUGUUGUGUAAUAAUAGUGGUUGAUUCUAAUUUCAAUACUGUAACCUGGAAGCGAUCCUGUUGGUUUGGGGGUGAAGAUGUUCUCUUUUAAAUCUUUUAUUUAACGUCUUUCAAAUCUUUUAUUAAA